rnacentral:rRNA from 1 species
UACAGAGGGUGCAAGCGUUGUCCGGAAUCACUGGGCGUAAAGGGCGCGUAGGCGGUGGCUUAAGCGUGUGGUGAAAGCUCGGGGCUCAACCCCGGGUCGGCCAUGCGAACUGGGCCACUUGACCGUAUCAGAGGCAGGCGGAAUUCCGGGUGUAGCGGUGGAAUGCGUAGAGAUCCGGAAGAACACCGGUGGCGAAGGCGGCCUGCUGGGAUACUGCUGACGCUGAGGCGCGACAGCGUGGGGAGCAAACAGG